UUCAUUGCGCGCAUUGCACUAAUAAGAUUAUCUUGAAUUUGUUGUUUAGCGCGUAAGCAUUGCUUAUACUCACGCUGAUCCUCCAAUGACGACAGUGUAAGGUAAAGCCUAAUGAAUUAGCAUCUUCAUAACAAGAAUCUGUCUUUCUUCCUCUAUAAUGGCGCAGCAUUCAUUCGCAGGCAAGCAGGGGAAAGCAGGAAAAGGGGGACUAGACGGCACCGGCAGUAAGUGGCCAUCAUGCAGGUGCAUACACUGACAUUAUGCCUUGUCAUUUUACAUUCCAAGGACACGAGCAGGAGAAUCGCAAGGAAUAGGACAAGCGCAAGGAUGGUGGUAAGGAUAUGAACAAGAGUCGGGCUCAAACGGGACGUGGCAUGCCACGUAGCGGCCGUUCGGAGGUAUGAAGCCUCUGGUUGCACGACCAUGGCUAUUAACUAAAUGCUUUUUAUUGCCUUAUUUCGAGGCACGUUAUGCCGGUGUCACACCUACAGCCGUCAUUGUACGUAACAUGCUCACAACUAUGUGUUCCUGCCUAAACAAUGAUUUGCUGUGAUCCUUUCAUAUGCAGAUUUAUGCCGUCGUUCGUGAAGAUGACAUCAGCGGAGGCGAGGAUUGAGCGCUUUAAUAAGAAGACAAUAGUGGCUGUAUUGUGGUACAUUUACAUGCGCUUAACAUUUGUGUGUCGAUUUUUUCUGACGUUAGACUGUUGGACCCUUUUCCAUGGUAAGAGUUGCUGGCUGAGUUGCAUCGGUCAUGUUAGGAUUUGCUAUGAAUUCGUACCUGUCAUUCAGGGAUAGUUCAAAUGUAUGAAGAAAGCAGUGAGUGCUGUGGUUCACAGCUGUGAACCUGCAGGUCAUGUGCAACGGCGGUGCACUUUGCACAUUGUACAGCUCGUGUACUGCUAUUGUAAAGCUUUUGUAUUGCACGGUUGGCCGUACAGUUCGCAGUCCCGC
rnacentral:lncRNA from 1 species